GAGAAAGAUCUGCGGGGACUCCUGCACCCCCCGCCCGUAUCUGGUGUCUCAUUAAGCAGAGAGACCUCCAGUCUUCAGAUUUCAAAUGCUGGCGAGUGCGCCGUGUCCCUGGUACAGGUAAUAGUUGCUGAACGAUGUUUCAUAAGUGCAAUCCAGGGACACAGACUCGCGCUCCAGAUCCGAUGCCGAGGGCUGGGUCUGAGUGACGGAAUCUUCCAUGCUGGAGCCUGGCACAAGGAGAGAGAAAGGAGAGCUGUGCCCCUGGCGGUGAAUUUCUGAGUGGAGCUGUGGUGCAGAUUCCCAGAAACCAGUGAGAGGCUUUCAUCUGCAAGAAGCCAGCUGCAGCCGGGCCCCCUUCCCCGCCACCUCUCCCCACCUGCACCGCCUUUUUCCUGCCUCUGGCUUCCUGACUUCGUAUGCAGGGGUCGGUUUCCCAGGGCAGGAGACAGCUGGAGGGUUUUUGUGCAGGGAUCUGUGUUCAUCACAGCACCGUGAGUCUCUACUGAGAGCGCAGAAGUACCCGGCGGAGUCCCUCGGCUCCAAGCCCGUGAUCCUCAGACUGAUGGAGCUUUGGGAUUUCUUGAAGUCCGCAGAGAAUCUCGGCCCGGCCUCGUUCUUC